rnacentral:misc_RNA from 1 species
CUGUGGGCGGGCCGCUGCUUCCCUCCUUACCCAAGAUACGCAUUAGGCAGUGUCCCCCAGAUUGUCUGAUAGAAAGUAACGAGCAGAAAUACCUUUAUAGGCUUGUAGCUCAGGUGGUUAGAGCGCACCCCUGAUAAGGGUGAGGUCGGUGGUUCAAGUCCACUCAGGCCUACCACAUCUUUCCUUCUCCUGCAUGACCGCCACCAACUCGCUCGUCAACGCAAAACUCAUUAGGGUCCCCCUAGACUAAAGAAAAGGUAUAUCUCUUAUCUGGCAGCGCGUCUGGGUCUGCAAAGACUGCAUGGGGCUAUUCCUCAUUUUGGAACACGACCGGCUUGCCCUUUAGAAAUAACGGUUCCCCCCCCCCUAACUCCACGCAUCCCAUUAUUUCUCUCAUUAAUUAUUUUCAACAAUUUGGAAAUUGCUUGCUCCCAACUA